rnacentral:rRNA from 1 species
AGACAGAGGGUGCAAACGUUGCUCGGAAUUACUGGGCGUAAAGCGCGUGUAGGCUGGUUUGUAAGUCGGGUGUGAAAUCCCUGGGCUCAACCUAGGAACUGCAUCCGAAACUGCGAGUCUAGAGUGUUGGAGAGGGAAGCGGAAUUCCUGGUGUAGAGGUGAAAUUCGUAGAUAUCAGGAGGAACACCGGUGGCGAAGGCGGCUUCCUGGACAAUUACUGACGCUGAGACGCGAAAGCGUGGGGAGCAAACAGGAUUAGAUACCCCGGUAGUCC